rnacentral:rRNA from 1 species
GAUGAACGCUGGCGGCGUGCCUAAUACAUGCAAGUCGAGCGAACAGAUCAGGAGCUUGUUCCUUUGACGUUAGCCGCGGACGGGUGAGUAACACGUGGGUAACCUACCUAUAAGACUGGUAUAACUCCGGGAAACCGGGGCUAAUGCCGGAUAACAUUUAGAACCGCAUGGUUCUAAAGUGAAAGUUGGUUUUGCUAUCACUUAUAGAUGGACCCGCGCCGUAUUAGCUAGUUGGUAAGGCAACGGCUUACCAAGGCAACGAUACGUAGCCGACCUGAGAGGAUGAUCGGCCACACUGGAACGGAGACACGGUCCAGACUCCUACGGGAGGCAGCAGAAGAGAAUCUUCCGCAAUAGGCGGAAGCCUGACAGAACAACGCAGCGUGAGUGAUGAAGGUCUUCGGAUCGUAAAGCUGUGUUAUUAGGGAAGAACAAAUGUGGAAGGAACUGUGCACGGCUUGACGGUACCGAAUCAGAAAGCCACGGCUAACUACGUG